CCACAGCUACAACCGCUCGUAAAUAAGUACUGAAGAGCUUCGGCCACUUAUAACGGCGAGUCUAAGUGCAAGA
rfam:Alkalibacterium sp. AK22 ATG3_contig_1, whole genome shotgun sequence.